AGCAGUGGGGAAUUUUGGACAAUGGGCGCAAGCCUGAUCCAGCAAUGCCGCAUGAGUGAAGAAGGCCUUCGGGUUGUAAAGCUCUUUUGUCAGGGAAGAAACGGUGAGAGCUAAUAUCUCUUGCUAAUGACGGUACCUGAAGAAUAAGCACCGGCUAACUACGUGCCAGCAGCCGCGGUAAUACGUAGGGUGCAAGCGUUAAUCGGAAUUACUGGGCGUAAAGCGUGCGCAGGCGGUUUUGUAAGUUUGUCGUGAAAGCCCCGGGCUCAACCUGGGAAUUGCGAUGAAGACUGCAAGGCUUGAAUCUGGCAGAGGGGGGUAGAAUUCCACGUGUAGCAGUGAAAUGCGUAGAGAUGUGGAGGAACACCGAUGGCGAAAGCAGCCCCCUGGGUCAAGAUUGACGCUCAUG
rnacentral:rRNA from 1 species